CGAAAACGAGCACCAUACCAGCAGCAGGCCAGCAGCGCACUCGAGUACCUUCUAGGCUCUCCGCCGCUGACCGCCGCCGGCUGCGCGACAGGCCGUCGCCCGCGCCUCCCACCGCAGCACGCCACAAUGGAGGCCGAGCGCCCAUGGCGUCACCCGAGGACACCUUCCAGCCGCCGUUCUCCUUCAAAUUCGUCGGGAUCCGGACGGAUCCGGAUGCCGGCGGCCCAUUCCCGACCUCCCUGCCUCGCCUGGUUUGUCGGCCACUCCGAUGUCGUCAUCUUCGUCACGGGAUCCAGCGCUACCGAUGGCUGGCCUCCUCCUCGCCUGGAUGUGACCCCCCCCACGCUGGCGCCUCCAAUCCGAGCAGCGGCAGCGAACACCUCGACAAGGGCAGUUUGCCAGAUCAGUGGCCAGAGAAAAGCCAUGGCGAUGAAGUCUGAUUGAUGACCCGCGAGCGCUCGGCGGCGCUUGAUGUGGUGGAUGCAGAAUCGUAUAGCUCCGGGUAGAGUAGUAGGCCAGAUCUGGAUAAAAAAUCUGUAAUUCCAUUUUUUGCUGUGUAUUUCUUCCUUUUUUGAUAAAGAAGUUAUGUAUAUGGUAUAUAUAUAUGCAAACUCCUUUAAGGCAAU
rnacentral:rRNA from 1 species